rnacentral:rRNA from 1 species
GCACUCAGUGGCGAACGGGUGAGUAACGCGUAGGUGACCUACCCCAAAGAGGGGGAUAACAGCUCGAAAGGGCUGCUAAUACCCCAUGUGGUUCUGUGGAUUAGAGGCCGCAGAACUAAAGGUGCAAACCGCUUCGGGAUGGGCCUGCGUCCCAUCAGCUAGUUGGUAGGGUAACGGCCUACCAAGGCGAUGACGGGUAGGGGGCCUGAGAGGGUGGCCCCCCACACUGGCACUGAAACACGGGCCAGACACCUACGGGUGGCAGCAGUAGGGAAUAUUGGGCAAUGGGCGAAAGCCUGACCCAGCGACGCCGCGUGCGCGAUGAAGGCCUUCGGGUUGUAAAGCGCUUUUGGAGGGGAUGAGGAAGGACAGUACCCUCCGAAUAAGCCUCGGCUAACUACGUGCCAGCAGCCGCGGUAAAACGUAGGAGGCGAGCGUUAUCCGGAUUUACUGGGCGUAAAGCGCGUGUAGGCGGUCCGGCAAGUUGGAUGUGAAAUCUCUCGGCUCAACCGGGAGAGGUCGUUCAAUACUGCUGGACUCGAGAGCGGUAGAGGGGGGUGGAAUUCCGGGUGUAGCGGUGAAAUGCGUAGAUAUCCGGAGGAACACCAGUGGCGAAGGCGGCCCCCUGGACCGUCUCUGACGCUCAGACGC